UACGUAGGGUGCGAGCGUUAAUCGGAAUUACUGGGCGUAAAGCGUGCGCAGGCGGUGAUGUAAGACAGAUGUGAAAUGCCCGGGCUUAACCUGGGAACUGCAUUUGUGACUGCAUGGCUAGAGUUUGGCAGAGGGGGGUAGAAUUCCACGUGUAGCAGUGAAAUGCGUAGAUAUGUGGAGGAACGACCGAUGGCGAAGGCAGCCCCCUGGGUCAAGACUGACGCUCAUGCACGAAAGCGUGGGGAGCAAACAGG
rnacentral:rRNA from 1 species